rnacentral:rRNA from 1 species
AUGUGUGAGGCCAAGACGGAUGGAGGUCUUGGCUUUCGUGACCCGGAAGCUUUCAACCAAGCUCUAUUGGCUAAAGAGGCAUGGAGGAUCUUACAAUACCCAACAUCUUUAUCUGCUCGGGUUCUUAAGGCUAGGUACUUUCCGGAUACCACAAUUAUGUUGGCCACUUGUCCCUCGGGGGGUUCUUUCACCUUUCGGAGCAUCCUCCAUGUGACGCCCGGGUAA